rnacentral:rRNA from 1 species
GACGAACGCUGGCGGCGUGCUUAACACAUGCAAGUCGAACGGAAAGGCCUGCUUUUCCUUGUGGUUUGCGGAUCCUCGAGUGGCGAACGGGUGAGUAACACGUGAGUGAUCAGCCCCCAACUUGGGUAUAAGCCUGGGAAACUGGGCCUAAUUCUCUAUAGGACUGCAGGGUGGAGCCUGUGGUGGCAAACGUUCUUCUAGUGGUUGGGGAUGAGCCCGCGGCCUAUCAGCUUGGUGGUGGGGUAAUGGCCUACCAAGGCGGCGACGGGAAGCCGGCGUGGGAGCGUCGACGGCGGAAUUGGGACUGGGAUCCGGCCCAGACGGGAGCGGGAGGCAGGAGUGGGUAAGAUUGGGCAAUAGGCGGAAGGGUGCAGCGGCGACGCAGCGUGGGGGAUGACGGGCUUCGGGUUCUAAGCUCCUAGGGAAGGCGAGGUAGCUACGUGGUUAGGCGGGUGGUGACGGUAGUGGUACAAGAAGCCCCGGCUAACUACGUG